CUUGAUUUUUUGUGUUAAAGUUAUGCCGUUUGUUUGAACUCGGGAUGAUGUUGGUGCGAGCUCUUACUGUUUGUGUUAUGAGCUAUCACUUUCGAUCCUUCGAAGCUUCCUCGCUUUUGACUCAAGAACCUUCAUCGUCGGCAAAACGGUUUCGAUGUUGUGCUUUUUGAAGCUGUCAACGGAAGCAAGCCGUAAUCGUCGCCGGUGUUGGACCCAUGGCUCUAAAGCUUCAAACUUUUCCCUGAAAAACAGAAAAUUACCAACAGCAACAUAUUUCCAACAUAUCAGUUUAAACAAGAAUUAAUGUUUGACAGGAAUGGUAGUGCGAAAUGGGUUUGGGGGUUUUGUAAAGGUUCGAUGGUGGUGGUGAUUCGAAGCGGAGUUUAGGGGUUUUCGGUGUGAAAACGGAGAGGGUUAUACGGCGGUGUUGAGGUGAGC
rnacentral:lncRNA from 1 species